UACGUAGGGUGCAAGCGUUGUCCGGAAUUAUUGGGCGUAAAGAGCUCGUAGGCGGUCUGUCGCGUCGGACGUGAAAACCCAGGGCUCAACCCUGGGCCUGCGUUCGAUACGGGCAGACUAGAGUUCGGUAGGGGAGACUGGAAUUCCUGGUGUAGCGGUGAAAUGCGCAGAUAUCAGGAGGAACACCAAUGGCGAAGGCAGCACUCUGGGACGGUACUGACGCUGAGACGCGAAAGCGUGGGGAGCAAACAGG
rnacentral:rRNA from 1 species